rnacentral:rRNA from 1 species
AUUGAACGCUGGCGGCAUGCUUUACACAUGCAAGUCGAACGGCAGCGCGGGCUUCGGCCUGGCGGCGAGUGGCGAACGGGUGAGUAAUACAUCGGAACGUGCCCAGUAGUGGGGGAUAGCUCGGCGAAAGCCGGAUUAAUACCGCAUACGACCUGAGGGUGAAAGCGGGGGAUCUUCGGACCUCGCGCUAUUGGAGCGGCCGAUGGCAGAUUAGCUAGUUGGUGGGGUAAAGGCCUACCAAGGCGACGAUCUGUAGCUGGUCUGAGAGGACGACCAGCCACACUGGGACUGAGACACGGCCCAGACUCCUACGGGAGGCAGCAGUGGGGAAUUUUGGACAAUGGGCGAAAGCCUGAUCCAGCAAUGCCGCGUGUGUGAUGAAGGCCUUCGGGUUGUAAAGCACUUUUGGCGGGAACGAAAAGGACUGUGCCAAUACCACGGUUCGAUGACGGUACCCGCAGAAUAAGCACCGGCUAACUCCGUG